UAUAAAUACAGCGAUGAGUUUUCGUAUCCAAUUUUAAUCAUCCGUCUUAUUUAAAUUUUUUUAUAAUUAAUAUUAUUAUUAUUAUUAGAUAAUAAAAUAUAAAUAAUAUUUUAUACAUGACUUAUGUUUUUAAUUUUUUUUAUAAUUUUUUUAAAAUAAUACAACCGAUUAAAAUUAGGCACGAAAAGUUAUGGCUACACUUAAA
rfam:Oryza meridionalis cultivar OR44 (W2112) chromosome 3, whole genome shotgun sequence.